UAAUGACCUUAAGAUAAGUCCACUCAUCAAAAGAGUCUUGUCCAUGUCUACUGGACACUUCAGUGGAUGUCUAAGAUAAUCAUAUCUUGUCUGGAUGGAAAAUAAUUGAAAUUCUAUUAAUAACCUACAAAUAGACAAAAUUGAAGAAUGUAAUGCAUGGAAUAUAAAUAAAGCAUCCCCAAGAAAGUGCCCAGGAGUUAUAUUUGAUUAUGACUACCAUCAUUCCCAAAAGAACGAUGCCUGGAGGAUUCUGAGAACUGCUGUUCAACACACAAUAGAAAUAUGAAUGAUAUUAAAGAACACAAAGCAAAUUGUCCCUUGGGAAGAAAAUCAAUACUUGGGAAAACAAAUUUGAGCUGACAAAUGACAAGAAGACUUACCUUUUUUGAAACGUUGAAAAAGUUGGGAUUUUUUUCCAAUAUCAACAUCCUGUUUAGCCAUUAAUAAGCCACCAAUCUUGCUAAUAUGACCAACAACGAUCACAAUGUAAUAGUGGUGGGGAAGCCAUUUUCUCCUUGGCACCCCAGGCUUGGCAGUCCAAGUCUGCCCUAACAUUACAUAUCUCAGCACAACAAUUCAGUCGGAUUGUCUCAGUGGCUGCAUUUACUGCAUUGAAGCUGAAUACAAUA